AGUAGCGAAGGUCAUGAUCUCAGACUGCCAAGAAAAGCCUCUAGCCAGGAGAAGGUGCCCGUACCGCAAACCGACACAGGUAGGCGAGAAGAGAAUUCUAAGGCGCGCGGAAGAACUCUCGUUAAGGAACUCGGCAAAAUGACCCCGUAACUUCGGGAGAAGGGGUGCCUCGGUAGGGUGAAUAGCCCGAGGGGGCCGCAGUGAAAAGGCCCAAGCGACUGUUUAGCAAAAACACAGGUCUGUGCGAAGCCGCAAGGCGAAGUAUACGGGCUGACGCCUGCCCGGUGCUGGAAGGUUAAGGGGAGUGGUAAGCCUUCGGGCGAAGCUAUGAACCGAAGCCCCAGUAAACGGCGGCCGUAACUAUAACGGUCCUAAGGUAGCGAAAUUCCUUGUCAGGUAAAUUCUGACCCGCACGAAUGGCGUAACGACUUGGGCGCUGUCUCAACGAGAGAUCCGGUGAAAUUUUAAUACCUGUGAAGAUGCAGGUUACCCGCGACAAGACGGAAAGACCCCAUGGAGCUUUACUGCAGCUUGAUAUUGAAUUUGGGUACGAUCUGUACAGGAUAGGUGGGAGCCGUUGAACCUUGAGCGCCAGCUUGAGGGGAGGCAUCCUUGGGAUACCACCCUGAUCGUAUCUAGGUUCUAACUUGGUACCGUGAUCCGGUACGAGGACAGUGUCAGGUGGGCAGUUUGACUGGGGCGGUCGCCUCCUAAAGAGUAACGGAGGCGCCCCAAGGUUCCCUCAGAAUGGUUGGAAAUCAUUCGAAGAGUGCAAAGGCAGAAGGGAGCUUGACUGCGAGACCUACAAGUCGAGCAGGGACGAAAGUCGGGCUUAGUGAUCCGGUGGUACCGCAUGGAAGGGCCAUCGCUCAACGGAUAAAAGCUACCCUGGGGAUAACAGGCUUAUCUCCCCCAAGAGUCCACAUCGACGGGGAGGUUUGGCACCUCGAUGUCGGCUCAUCGCAUCCUGGGGCUGAAGUAGGUCCCAAGGGUUGGGCUGUUCGCCCAUUAAAGCGGUACGCGAGCUGGGUUCAGAACGUCGUGAGACAGUUCGGUCCCUAUCUGUCGUGGGCGUAGGAAAUUUGAGAGGAGCUGUCCUUAGUACGAGAGGACCGGGAUGGACGUACCGCUGGUGUACCAGUUGUUCCGCCAGGAGCACCGCUGGGUAGCUAUGUACGGAAGGGAUAAGCGCUGAAAGCAUCUAAGCGUGAAGCCCCCCUCAAGAUGAGAUUUCCCA
rnacentral:rRNA from 1 species